rnacentral:rRNA from 1 species
UAAGAGGUCCAGCCUGCCCGGUGAUAUAAUUUAACGGCCGCGGUAUACUGACCGUGCGAAGGUAGCAUAAUCACUUGUUCUUUAAAUGGGGACUAGUAUGAAUGGCACCACGAGGGCUUUACUGUCUCCUUUCUUCAAUCAGUGAAACUGACCUCCCUGUGAAGAGGCAGGGAUACUACUAUAAGACGAGAAGACCCCAUGGAGCUUUAAACCCAACAACAGCCCAAACACCUACCCCCUCAAAGUUUUUAAAGUUUUGUUAGUUGGUUUUAGGUUGGGGUGACCGCGGAGUACAAACCACCCUCCACGACGAAUGGGCCUACCCCCUUACCCAAGAAUUACACCUCUAAGGAUUAACACAUUAACGUAAAAUGAUCCAAAUAUUUGAUCAACGAACCAAGUUACCCUGGGGAUAACAGCGCAAUCCAUUUUUAGAGCCCCUAUCGACAAAUGGGUUUACGACCUCGAUGUUGGAUCA